AGAUCAUGUUGAGGAAAAUUGCAAAGUAAUCCUUUAUAACAUUCCUAAGCUUCAUAUAAGGAUGCACCAUCCAAUUGUUGAAAGUUAAGGAUGUUCUUCUUGAACUU